CAAGUGACGCCACUUUAAAACUUUGGAGAGGAAGGACAUGCGUUCGCACUUUUGUGGGGCAUACAGGCUAAGUUUUCUGCUUUUCUUUCAAACAUACUGUAUUAUUGCUUCAUUGUAAUCAUGAAAUGAUCUGGUAAAAAAUGGGAUGCUAUAGUUCUUUCAUGCAAUUUUGAGGCAAUCACAUAGCCUGUUAAGGGGCAGUAGUAAUGACAAAAGUGUGGACAUGAUUUUUUUAGAAGUUACUAUGAUGAGGUUAGUGAUUUUUAAUAACUUCAUUUACUAGUGCUUGAAAGGAAGUGAAGGCAUAUUUUUUCAGUUCUUAACGGACAUAAAAUUCGCUAUUCUCAGUUCUGUAUUGUUUAUAUUUUCUCUUUGUAUGUUUGGAAUUGCCUUCCUUUUCACUUUUUAACUCUCUACAUAAGCUUUUAAGUUUUGAACAGAUUUUAUCAUAUAUCAUAUGGUUUAACGAUGUUUAUAGGGUUUAUAUACGUUUCUGUUGAUAUUUAGUAGUUUUCCAUGGCAAUACUCAUGUUGUGCCCAAAUUAUGAUUUUGUUAAUGCUCACUGGAAGUUGGGUUACUAUGCAUUGGAUGAUGAUUGAUGCACUCUAAGUCUCUAACUUGCAAAAAUAAGAGAGCUUCCUAAGUCUGCCAGGAGAUCUUGGUCAAAUGUUUAGGAUAGCUUGUAUGCUUAUAAUAAAUUACUCAUGAACUUUAAGAAUUGUGCAGAUACGGUUUGGGGCUUAGCAGAGAUGCAUGGAUUGGGUGUUCUUUCUGCAUCACAUAAUGGUUCAAUCAGGUUAUGGGUGCUAGCAGGCCAAGUGUUGAUGGAGAUGGUUGGUCAUACUUCCAUUGUCUAUUCAGUUGAUUCCUAUAUGUCUGGACUUAUUUAGAUUGGCGGUGAAGAUUGUUUGACCAAGAUAUGGAAAGAUGGAGUUUGUGUUCAUAGCAUAGAGCAUCUUGGUUGUGUUUGGGAAUUGGGAAAGAAGAUGGUGACGUUGUGACGGCAUGUUCAGAUGAAGUUUUAUGUGUUUGGACAUCACAUCAGGAUAUGAUUGUAGAUCCACUAGAUCUUGAGUCAUGUGUUUCCCAACUCUCUCAAUGCAAGUUAAGCAGUUUUGAUUUAUUUGUAUGAGGAAGAGGGUUGGAGGACUGAAAUUGAAAGAUUUACCAAGGCUAGAUGCUUUACAGAUUCCAGGUGUAAUUUUAUGAUAUCGCCAGUCUGCAUAGGAGGACAUGUUGGGCUUGAAUCUCGAUUGUGCUAUUCCCCUGUUGACAUUUAUGUUUACAAGAACUAUGACCCGGAAAUGACAAAAAUGUGGAGGAAAUUGGUGUCAAGGAGGCAUUCAUUGGCGAUCAUUCAGAGCUAUUCAUUGCGAUCAUUCAGAGCCAUGGUUUGUGUAACAAUCAACACCUAUAAGGGACUCUUGAAAGGAAAUUAACAGUAUGAAUUAUUGCUUUGGCCUUCAGUUGGAAUAGGAAACCUUGUCAUGCUAUCUAGAGAUAUGCAAGAGAAUUUGCAGCUAGUGAA